GCCCAAUGAUGAAACCAAGGCGAAUACGAGCUGAGUGAACGACAGCUGGCUGCUUCUUGCCUUAACUGGCGGGUAAUCUUGGCAGUGCAAGGGAGGCUUGUUGCUCUGCUGUAAGGGCCCGUCGACAGUAAAUCUGGCUGUGCUAUUGGUUCUCCUCUGAAAGUUACAUUGGAGGAAUCAUUUAGAUGAAGCCCACAGUGUGUUUGUGUGUGUGUGUGUGAAGGCCUGAAGUUUGCCCAGCUGUUUUCACUCUUCACUCAGCAAUGAGUUGCUUCUUUGGUAAUCUGAGGGCC